rnacentral:lncRNA from 1 species
UCUCCUAAUCUGUCGGAACAGUUAAUGCAGAGUAAAUAUAUCUUGGCUCCAAUUGAUGACGAUGAAGAUGUCGAAGAAAUACUGAUCUUUCCUUUGAAAUAUUCAGAAUGUCGAUUUUUAGAAUUAUAUAUUGAAAAAGAAGAUAUACCAAGCUUUGGAUACUAUAGUCGGCUUUUAACUCAAGCGGAUAAUAAUGUUGGGCCUUCCUCAUCUUUCGUAACUCCUAUGAUACAAACCGAUAGUGUUGAGGCCGAUUUUGCAGAACAACAUUCCACUACUGCCGGUCCUAGCUGUCCAAUUAUUCCAAGUG